rfam:Kosmotoga olearia TBF 19.5.1, complete genome.
UAAACCCACCAAGGCAAAAGCCAGAACCUUGUAGCUUGGUCAGCAAGGGGGAAGGAAACUGAACUCUUGAAGCCUGACGACAAAGCCAUCGGAAGGAUGGUGAGGGAGUAUCCGGGCCGUAACGAAAGUGAACGCACAGGUAGCCUCGAAACCCUUAUUCCCGGAAGCCGAAUCCAUGGUACAGGGAUGAAGGCAACAUGAAUUCACGAAAACUGGAUGAAACGUGGAUUCAUUCUGGCGGGGUGAUAGCGAC